GCCGCCGAAACCCAAAUCCCCACCCGACCGAGCCGCCGCUCCCCGACGCCCCGUCCCUCCGCAGAGCCAGCCCGCCCACAGCCGCGAUGGAGGAGGAGAUCCGCGCGGAGUUCGAGGGCAGCGGCUUCACCAUCGGCGGCGACAGCGCCCAGAUCCUCUCCACGCUGCUGACCUACUGCGUCAACUACAAGAUGAGCCCCGCGGAUCUCGUCUCCAACUGGGAGGUCUACUACCUCAACAGGCAACUGGAUGGGUUAAAGGUUGAAAGCUCAUACCUGGAUGGCUUUCUGUCACACCUUCAAAAUGAAGUAAAGGAAAAGCUUAUAAAAGAAGAAACAGACCUUCACAUUUACUCCAGUAAUGAUGUUGACAUGCUCUUGAGCAAUACACACACAGAUGAAGAGGGCUUCCUGGGCACACCAAGCACGAAACAGGAAAAGCCACAUGGAGAGUCAUCUAACUCCGAGCUAACUCCUCUGACAACUGAAAGGCCAUCAUCCACAAGAGCGGCUAAAACAAAUGGUGAUCGUAUUACCCCUUUUGCUCAACGAGUAAAUAAAUUUACUCAGCAUUAUGUUCUGAAUGCUGAUAACAUGGCUAGCGUGCCAAGUAAAGACGAGGUUGAAACCUCAGAAGAUGAAUUAAUUAGAAGGAUCCAACCAAGUCAAAAAUGUACCUUGCAAGUUCAACGAUCAAAGCCCGAACCAGGUUGCAGGUUCAUGUAUGACAGGAUGGAAGACCGAUUUAAUUACCUGGAAGAUCGUAUUGGAAGGUCAGCAAGAUUGUUUUCUGCAACUGGGCUUUGUGGACAACCUGCAGAUGCUACCCUUGCUUCAGAGGAGAACAUGUUUGCAGUUGGCAUGGUAAUUUGCGAUGGGGAAGGUCGUUUGAAUGAAAAAUCUAUCUUGUUGCAGGGCAGUGUUGAGCACUCCAGGGGACAGCGUGUACGCCUUGAUUUGAAGGAUAUAAACCAAUUCUCUUUGUUUCCUGGCCAGGUUGUGGGUAUUGAAGGCCACAAUCCUAGUGGACACUGUUUUGUCGCAUCAAAGUUGAUUGAUUCCAUACCAGUUUCUGUGGAUGAUCAACUGCCUUGUGCUAAGAAACAAGCUGUUGACCAUGAAGGACAUCAAAAUUCGAACACACUAUCAAGGGUGUUGUCAUUGGUCAUUGCAGCAGGUCCCUUCACAACAACCGACAAUCUUUUGUUCGAGCCAUUGCAAGAAUUACUCUCGUAUGCAUGCCGUAAGCAGCCCCAAUUGCUCAUACUGAUGGGACCCUUUAUCGACUCUGAUCAUCCUGAAAUCAAAAAAGGAACUUCUGACCAGAGCUUUCAUGAUAUUUUCCAUUUUGAGAUUCUGAGGAAGCUUCAAGAUUUUACCCAGUAUUUGGGGCAUAAUGUUCGCGUAAUUCUUGUUCCAUCUGUGCGUGAUGCUCACCAUGACGCUGUUUUCCCCCAGCCUGCAUUUGACUUGCAUUUACCUGAAGAUAUGACACAACAGAUUACUUGUCUGUCAAAUCCAAGUCUGUUCAGUUCUAAUGAGAUACAAUUUGGCUGUUGCACGGUAGACAUCUUGAAACAGCUGAGUGGUGAUGAAAUUUCUCGCAAGCCACCUGGAGGAAAGGCCGCAGAUAGGAUUGGGAGACUUGCAACACAUAUAGUGAAGCAACAAAGCUACUACCCUCUGUAUCCACCUGCUGCUGGUGUGCCCAUGGACUUCUCACUUGCCAAGGAAGCAUUGGAGAUCCCAUCAGCUCCUGAUGUUCUUCUGCUUCCUUCUGAUCUUGCUCCAUCUGUGAAGGUGCUUUCCGUAAACGAAGACACGGAGGAACAUAAAAGGUUCAUCUGUGUGAACCCUGGGAGGCUAGCAAAAGGUAUCGGUGGAGGCACGUUUGUAGAGCUUUACUACAACGAGGACACUGAGAAGACGAAAGCCUUCAUUAUGCGCAUCUAAGAAAGAAUUUGUAACAUUUUCCUAUUCACCAAGUACCGGACUGGAAAAAUGAGACUAGUGUGAAGUACAUCCGUUCUGUUCUUUUUGCCCCACUCUGCUGUGAAUUGGAUCCAGGGAGUCUGUAAGCCUGUAUUUCUAGUUAGAAUUUGUAGCAUUUUCCUAUCGACCAAGUACCGGACUGGAAAGAUGAGACUAGUGUGAAGUACAUCCGUUCUGUUCUUAGUGCCCUACUGCUGUGAAUUGGAUCCAGGGAGUCCGUAAGCCUGUAAUUCUAGUUAGUUAAUUCACCUUAGUAUUGGUGGAAAACAUUCUCCGAAACUUAUUUGUAACCUGUACGUACAUUUUAUAUUCAGCACAAACUCAACAUUCUAUAUUUGGGAAUUUA